AUGGCCUGGACUCCAUUCAUCCUCAUCCUCCUGACUCACUACACAGGAUCUUGGGCUGAGGUCAUGUUCACACAGCCCCACUCUGUGAAGGGGACUCCGGGGCAGGAGGUCAGGAUCUCAUGCAUCCGAAGCAGCGGCAACAUUGAGAACAAUUAUGUAUACUGGUACCAGCAGCACCCAGGAAGUGCUCCCAUCAAUGUGAUCUACAAAUAUAACCAAAGACCCUCUGGGAUUCCAGCUCGCUUCUCCGGCUCCAUGGAUAGCUCUUCCAACACCGCCUGGCUGACCAUCUCGGCACUGCAGCCAGAGGAUGAAGCAGAUUACUACUGUCUAUCUGGGUAUGACAACUAUGACACACAGUGCUCCAGGCCCACGAGGAAGUGA